GGACAUUAGCAUGGAGGAGGUUUACUAGCAGAAGAUAAGAGGGGAAAGCUGGCUCGGGAAGAGGGAAAGGUCAAGUUGCAAUGUGAUCUCCACUAAGCUUUAGCUGGCCUCUAGCUCUGAAGAACAGAAGACCUUCCAGUGGUGUUCCGAGUCUGGGAAGAACCGAGGGGAGAGAGGGAAAGAGGAGGGAACCAGAAACAUGGUGGAGUAGGAGGAUCCUGAGUUCACCUCAUCCCAUGCACACACCAAGGCAACAGCUACACCUGUGCAACUUACUCUGAAAAUGACCUGAAGACUAGCAGAAAACACCUUCUACAGCUAGUCAUAGAGAGAAUGCCACAUCGAAAAGGGUUAAGAUGAAAACAGAAAAAUCUCCCCUGUGGAAGUGACAUUUAUGUGACUUGAAGGAGGAAGAGGAGAGAGUCAGCAGCCAUCACCAGACAUCUGGCUUUGGAAGCAGUUUUGCUGAAGAGAAUACAACCUGUGCCACUGAAUCCAAACAGCAUUCAUUCUUGGUGGUCGCGAGCAUCCUUGCAUCCAGAGAAAGGAAUCACUUUGCUAUUUUUUAUGGUUUAAUUUUAUUAUUGCAUAAAACAUUUUGGCUGUAUAACUUUCUGGACUUCCCUGUUUUACAACCAAUAAUCCCGCUGAAAUGUGAAAUGUACCUAAAAUUAACAAAGACAGUGUCUCAUCCCACAUCUCUGAUUUCAUUUAGGCUUGAAGAAGUAGUCCAACAUCACACAGAGUACAAAGCACGGGAGCAGAGAGACCUAGGUUUGCUCCCAGCUCUGUGCCGCAAAGUCACUCAUUGGUGACCUGAAUUAAGCCACAAUAGUUGUCUUAGUCUUAGACUGUGUUGUUCUUUGAUGCCAUAGAAUUAGAUCAUCUCCAAGGGCCCUGGUAGCUCUAACACUCUACUGCUGAACUCAGGCUGACAUCUGAGACAGACUCAUGAGACUUAUCUUCAAGUUUUCAUUCCUAUAAUGAUAUGUGGAUGACUAGGGGCUGAAAUAUUGGGAAGAUAUCAUGGAAACUUUCUCAUAUAGACAUCAGAAAAAAUGGUCAACAGAUUUUUGUACCAUUUCUGUUUAAAAUCCUUAUUUCUCUGGAUAAGAAAUAAAGGUUUUGACAAUAUCUUCAAAAAUAUUAUGGCACUGUCCUUCUCCUCUACCCCUGGAGGUUCCACUGGGUAAGAAAGUUCUGAAAGACACGUGGGAAUUUGGUCAAGCACUCCCUUCUGCAGCACUCACAGGAAGGAGGAUCCAAGGAUUUGCUGACAUCCAGCUAGGGGUCCAUUUGGAGCCAUCUACAGAUACUCUAGAGACAUUGUGCUCUUUCAAUGAGGAAAAGCCACACAUAUAAAAAGCCAUACUCACUACCUAUUUCCUGACCCAUUGCAAACCACCACAGUCUCUUCUCAUCAGUCUUUCUUCCAAAACAUAAACUAUACUGUGACAGCCAUAAUGCUUCUAUUUACAUUUCUGAGGCAAUAUUUUUAAGAUCCUUGAAAGCUAGAUUGACAACCAUAGCCAGCCUAUGACUUCAUUUUUUAAAAUUAAAGGUUAUAAUGCUGUUUCACAUCUAUUUCUGAGUAGCAAUUCACCCCAAAACUCAGUGCUUGAAGGAACAAUUUAUUAUUUCUCAUGCUUCUGUGGGCUGAGGUUUUUCUGCUAGACUCACCUGGGCCCACCUAUUUUGCUGCAUUCAGCUGGAGAGAGUCUCUGACUUCUUCACUGAUGUCUGGCAGUUGGUCCUGGCUAUUGACUGGGGGACCUUGGUUCUCCUCGGUGAGGUUUCUUAUCUUCUAGUAGGCUAGACUGGUUUCCUUACAUGGUGGUUUGGGGGCAGCACUUCAAGGGAACAAAGUGGAAGCCACAGGCUUCUUAUGGCCUAACCUCAGAAGUUGUACAUUAUUUCUGGUGCAUCCAUUGGUCAAAGCAAGUCACAAGUCCAGAUCAGAGUUAGGAGGUGGGGAAAUAAACCAUCUCUUGCUAGGAGGCACAGCGAAGUCAAAGAGACAUGUAUGUAGGAAUUGCUGCUUUUUUCACCUCCAUCUGCCACAGACAACUUUUAAAAUGAGGCAAACCAUAAGAGACUCUUAAAUACAGAGAACUGAGGGUUGAUGGAGGUGGGGAAAAUGGGUGAUGGGAAUUGAGGAGGGCACUUGCUGGGAUGAGCACUGGGUGUUUUAUGUAAGUUGUGAAUCACUGGAUUCUACUCCUGAAACCAAGACUACACUGUAUGUUAUCUAAUGUGAGAAUAAAACAUUAAAAGAAUAAUAAUAAAAUCAUAAAAAAUAAAGUGAUUUUAAAUAGUAAAACAGUACAAUCAUGGAAAAAGCAGAAUGUAUCAAUAACUACAAGUAAAGAAAUAAAAUCACUCUUAAUCCCUCCAUCCCAGGAGAAUGACUAUUAAUAUAAGUGCAUGUAUGCCUAACAUUUUUGUAUACAUCUUUACAUCAGGUCAAAAAAUACAUACUGUUUUGUUCCCUGAUUUUUAUAACCCAACAGUAUGUCCUAAGCAUUUCCUCAUAAUGUGCCUAAUAUAUCAUAUUUAAUGGGCCAUAAUUUAUUUAUGUAUUAUAUAUAUUUUUACUACUAUAAAUAAUCAUGUAGUGAACUUUUUCAUAUAAAUCUUUGUGCACAUCUCUGAUUAUUUCUUUUUUUUUUAACAUUUAUUUAUUUUUGAGAGACAAAGACAGAGCAUGAGCAGGGAAGGGGCAGAGAGAGAGGGAGACACAGAAUCCGAAGCAGAUUCCAGGCUCUGAGCUGUCAGCACAGAGCCUGAUGUGGGGCUCAAACUCACAAACCGCGAGUUCAUGACUUGAGCCGAAGUCGGACCCUUAACCAACUGAGCCACCCAGGUGCCUCUAUUUAUUUCUUUAAGGUUAAGUCCAUAAAGUAGAAUUGCUAUGUCAAAAGAAAUAUAUAUUUUAAAAUUUUGAGAUAUUUUGCUAAAUGACCUCCUAUAAAAAAGUUAAUAUUCUGUUCUCAGCAGAGAAAUAUAAGAAAUCCCUGUUUCUCCCUUUUCCUUAACCCUUCUGAGUCUGAGAGGUAAAUACUGACAUUCAUAAUUAUAUCAAUUUGUAUAUCAUUGUCAGUAAUGUUAAACAUUUUUCCCAUUUUUACCAGCCAUCUGUAUUCUCUCACCAACCCAGUCUAUUGCUUGUCUCUCUCUAGGAAUAUCAAGAAAAAAAAAUGGAGAAGAAGGAGUCUUAACGGAAUGUGUUCCCCUUAAUUAUCAUUAUAUCAGUCUCUUUUCCCUAUAGGUAAGUAGUUUACUACAAAUGUGAGCACUUAAAAGUGAUAAAACAAUUAUGUCUCAUGAGUCAAGAGACCAGGUCUGGUGGGGAAGGGAAGGGG